UCUUCCCGGACCGGGGCACGAACCCGUGUCACCUGCAUCGGCAGGCGGACUCUCAACCACUGCGCCACCAGGGAAGCCCUGAAGCUGUUCUUGGAGACUGUUUCUGUAGUAAUGAGGUCAAGAGUGACACGCAUCUCCUGGUGCGCCUGUUCUAUAGAGACCUUGUGAACGGUGGGCCUUUGCUCUUCUCUUAGUCGUGGGUUGAUGUGAGUUAGCUGUUGACCUGUUUUAGAUGUAGACUCAGCCAGUGGGACCACCAGCCACAAGCAUGACAGGCCAUAGAAUGUCCCUGCACAUGGGCCCAGGCUCACAUCCUUUCCGCCUGACCUGCUCCUCACCUGGGGUCCUCUUUGAUGCAUCUCAGCUCUGUUUUCUCACAGUUGGAGACACGCGAUUACAGGUAAAGAAGAGGCUAUGGGAGAUGGUCAAAUGUCCGAUUUGCAGCCAUUCUCGGUGAAGGGUGAGGUUGCCCUCACAAGGUAACUGAAUGUUUUUGGGAAGAAGUGGCCUUUGCUUAGUGGAUUGUGAUUUUUAUUAACGAGCUGGCUCACCUCUUGAAAUGCCCUAGUCUAACUGACCCCAUCCCUGCACUAGUGGAAAAUGGGAUGGGAAGAGUGUGUGCACACAGACAUGGCCCAGGUGGUGUCGAGCAAGGAGUCUGGUGUCAGGCUGGAGAGGGAGAGGGCGGGGUGAUCCUAUCGCUUUUCUGUGCAGUUUGUAUUUCUUCAAGCCAGAGACAUCCUUUCAAUGUUGGCUUUACAUUUCCUCCCUUGGGAUUUGCAUUAAAAUUUGUUUUUCAUUAAAGAAAGAGGGAGAAUACUGACCACAUGAACCUAGAAAACCUGAAGAAACAGAAAGUGAAGGAGCCAAACCAAACCAUCAGGGAAGAUGUGGGAGAGACCAGGUCUGAGUCUUUCAUUUACUGUUAAUGUCCUGUUUUUAAACUUAACGGGCUUCAGUAAGUUAAAUGCUUCAUUUUUUUAAAUCUGUAAGCCUUUCUUAGUCUCUAUGGCAUUUUGAUAGUUUUAAAAAUGUACACUUUGUGUGUAAAGUACAUUUAUUUCUAAUUUCGGAAGGCGCGCUGCUUUGUGUUGUGCCUGGGCCUCGGAGUCAGUUCUGGGAGGGGUGGGUUCGGUUACGCAUUACUCAGAAUCCUUUGAGUGGCUGCCACCCUCUGGCUGAGUUCUAAGGACCCGGAAGCUGCCGGCUGGGGGCGUCGUGGUGUCCUGGACCUAACUUGCUCACUUGCUGAGGGUCACGUUUGCUCUUCCCAGGGGCCACUUCAGGACACAUUGGUGGUGGUCUCUUUAGUGUUUUAACAGAAGUUCUAACCAUUACUGCAACAUGGAAAUGUUCUCAGUAAAACUUUCUGUCUUCUUGUGACUCGUAGCAGUGCCUGAAGGAAGAAAGUACGUUCUCCAUUUCAGAAGAUAUCAGAUCUGCACAGGCCGCCAAGCCUGUGAAGACGCGUAACAGUGCAAAGCUUUGCAAGAAACAAGGCCAGGUGACGUCUUCAGGGGUGAUUCUCGUGGGCAGCUUUCUAGGCGCGCAUGCUUGCGUGUUUGUUCUUGCAAGUGUAAGAAGACAGUGAAUGGGGAUUUCCCUGGCAGUCCAGUGGUUAAGACUCCAUGCUUCCACUGCAGGGGGCAUGAGUUCCAUCCCUGGUACCGUGC